rnacentral:lncRNA from 1 species
CUACGGGUAAGGGAAAACAGUGUUAUGAUUUUUUUCCUGUGUGUGAUUGUACUGUCAUCAAAAUACAGAUGCUUUUCCUACAUCAAUGAUUUUUUUACUAUAGCCUAAGGGCUUCUUGGCUUUAAAGGUCUAGUUAUUUUUGCUAAUAUAGCAAGAUUUUAACUCCUGACUAUUUCAUAAAUCAACUCCAGAUGCAAUGUACAGUUUAAAAUACUUAUUUUCAGAGGUACAUUCUGGCUUAGUAGAUUGCUGUCUCACCAUUUCAAUGCUUCAAAGCGAUGGUGCUGGGAAUUGUCAGCUCUGAAGACAAGGUUAGCUCACAGAAGCAGGAUGUGUUGUGUAAAAUGAUGAUUUAUAAAAGUGUUACAAUCUGUUUAUCUUGCAGGUCGAAUUGCAUGCAUUAUAUGAUCAGAAAUACAUAGAGGAUUAAUGUGCCACUGCUUAUUUUAAAGCAUCGUGUUGUCUCUAAAGGUGAGGGUGGCAGAGACAUACGGGAGCAGAAGCCAGAAAGAGCAUCUUCCAACCCACGCCAGCCUGGAGAAGCUGUGGCAGAGCAAUCCUACCCCGAUAACAAACCCCAAGACCUAACCCUCAGUGCAGCCUUGCCGGGAGUGGAGGACUCGUAUGUCACCGCCCGGAGGAGCGGAGCGGAGCGAUUGGCCGGGUGAAUUAUCUGCCUUGUUGCAGUGAAUUAUUUGCGCUGUUUCCUUUCCCAGUCAACAAGUUUCUGAGCUUGACUUUGAAUUUCCUUAAGUGCCAGAGCGAGGAUACGGUGCUGGGUAAUGCAUUGCCAUGCACUAUAUUUAGAAAGCAGCUGGAAGAGAAGAUGUCCUCAGGAAUCCGGACUGUUUUGUUGUACUUGUCCCUCCCGUCCCGGCCCUGUAACGCAAACGCUCCUUCUGCAGAGGGCACACUGCAGCACGAUGAAGCCAACCCCCCUGCAGAGGAGCAGGCCCCAAGCUGCUGACGCCGGCCCGAGGUAAGGGACGUGAACAGAAGCUGAGGAGCUGGUGCAGGGUCCCCGCCACACCCCAAACACCCCUCUCGCCCCUUUGCUGCUCUGGGCCAUCGAGCUGCACCUUCUGGAUUCACACGCGGGGCGGGGACAUCCGGGGGCUGCGUGUGCCGGUGCCAGCCCGGCACUCACCGUCACCGUCCCUGUUGUGACACCAGACGUGGGGGCCCCGCUCCCUGGCGGCACCGCUGAGCCCGGCAGCGCCGGCCCCGGUGACGCCGGUCCCCUCCGAGCGACGCGCCACCGCAUCUGAGCGCCAGGCAAGCGGUUUUGUCACUUGCUUUGAGACGCGUCCUGCCUGGUCUCUCUUGUUUCAUUACCCGAAAUCCCAGAGAAACCACCCGGCAGGAUCAAUCAGUCACAGGCAGCCAGACAGUUUUCUUGUACUUUAUUAAAGUGUAAUCAAACAUCGGUUAAGUGGAAAAUAAAUAUCCAGAUCUAAUAAGCUGCUCA